rnacentral:rRNA from 1 species
GUCCAGCAUUGAGUAUGGUCACUGGAUUUGGCCCAGAGAGGGUGAAAGGCCCGUACGGGUGGAGGUUCAGACAUGUAAGGCAGUUCACCAGGUCGACCUUAGAGUCGGGUUGUUUGGGAAUGCAGCCCAAAGCGGGUGGUAAACUCCAUCCAAGGCUAAAUACAGACACGAGUCCGAUAGCGAACAAGUACCGUGAGGGAAAGUUGAAAAGUACUCUGAAGAGAGAGUAAACAGUACGUGAAACCGCAUGCAGGUAAACGGGUGGCGUCAAGCUGCAAGCCCAGAGGAUUCAGCCGGUUAGGAUGUUGUGUAUGCGCCUGGCGCAUCUAUCAGUCAGAGUAUGAUUGGAUAGUCCACCAGUAGACGGUGGGCCUGACCGCAAGGUUGGGAUAUGUGUACCGGGUGGAUGCCGGAGCAUGCUAUCCGUCUGAGGACUGUCUAAUCGGUGCACUUUCUCUGUGGUGAACACCACGACCGGUGGUAUUGCCAGUCUGCUGUGUCCAAGUCGUGUUUGGUAGGUCCUUGUGGCCAACUGGAUGCGAUCACAGGCAAAUUUAGUAAACGGCGUAGAGGUGUUUCGGCAUCUCUGCGUGUUAUCGGCUACUAGUUGUCAACGGGCCUGCUCGAUGUUUGUUGUAACUGGCAUCGAGUGGUCUGGUGGGGCAUGGUGGUAAGAAUAACUGUGCAAGGCACCGGAGUUAUCGGCCUCAAAUGCAUUCU